ensembl:snRNA Gm22381 U6 spliceosomal RNA
UUGCUCGCUUUGACAGCACAUAUACUAAUAUUGGAACAACACAGAGAAGAUUAGCAUGACCCCUGCACAAGUAAAAUUUAUAAUGUUCAUAAAGCAAAAUCACCAAU